rnacentral:rRNA from 1 species
GGCUUAGAAGCAGCCAUCCUUGAAAGAGUGCGUAAUAGCUCACUGGUCAAGUGAUUCUGCGCCGAUAAUGUAGCGGGGCUCAAGUACACCGCCGAAGUUGUGGCAAUGAUCUUUUUGGAUUGUUGGGUAGGGGAGCGUCGUGUGGCCGUUGAAGCUGCGGUGUAAACCAGUGGUGGAGGCUAUGCGAGUGAGAAUGCAGGCAUGAGUAGCGAAAGAUGAGUGAGAAACUCAUCCGCCGGAUGAUCAAGGGUUCCAGGGUCAAGUUAAUCUGCCCUGGGUUAGUCGGGGCCUAAGGCGAGGCCGACAGGCGUAGUCGAUGGAUAACGGGUUGAUAUUCCCGUACCGGUGAGAAACCGCCCAUACUGAUAUUGUGAUGCUAACCAUGCGAAGCAUGAUGUGCAGGCUUUUGUUUGUGUGUUGUGUGGGUUGUGGGACCCGAUCUUUGGAGGUAAACGUGUUAACAGGUGUGACGCAGGAAGGUAGCCAAGCCACGCGAUGGUUGUCGUGGUCUAAGCGUGUAGGGUUGUCGGUUGUUAAAUGCGCCGGCUGUGUGCCUGAGACGUGAUGGGACCCUGUUUUUGGGGGAUUUGGUGAUCCUAUGCUGCCGAGAAAAGCAUCGGCGUGAGGUUUUAGCCGCCCGUACCCUAAACCGACACAGGUGAUCAGGUAGAGAAUACUAAGGCGAUCGAGAGAAUCAUGGUUAAGGAACUCGGCAAAAUGCCCCCGUAACUUCGGGAGAAGGGGGACCUUGAGCGUGAUGGGCACUUGCUGUCUGGAGCGUGUAUGGGUCGCAGAGACCAGGGGGAAGCGACUGUUUAUCAAAAACACAGGUCCGUGCGAAGUCGUAAGACGAUGUAUACGGACUGACUCCUGCCCGGUGCUGGAAGGUUAAGAGGAUUGGUUAGCCUUUUUUGGGCGAAGCUGAGAAUUUAAGCCCCAGUAAACGGCGGUGGUAACUAUAACCAUCCUAAGGUAGCGAAAUUCCUUGUCGGGUAAGUUCCGACCUGCACGAAUGGCGUAACGACUUCCCCGCUGUCUCAACCAUGAGCUCGGCGAAAUUGCAGUACGAGUAAAGAUGCUCGUUUCGCGCAGAAGGACGGAAAGACCCCGGGACCUUUACUAUAGCUUGGUAUUGGUGUUCGCUUGGACUUGUGUAGGAUAGGUGGGAGACUGUGAAGCUGCCGCGCCAGCGGUGGUGGAGUCGUCGUUGAAAUACCAUUCUGGUUCAAGCGGUCACCUCAACCUUGGCCCGUGAUCCGGGUUGGGGACAGUGCCUGGUGGGUAGUUUAACUGGGGCGGUUGCCUCCUAAAAUGUAACGGAGGCGCUCAAAGGUUCCCUCAGCCUGGUUGGUAAUCAGGUGGCGAGUGCAAGUGUACAAGGGAGCUUGACUGUGAGACCGACGGGUCGAGCAGGUGCGAAAGCAGGAACUAGUGAUCCGGCCAUGGCACGUGGGUGCGUGGUCGCUCAACGGAUAAAAGGUACCCCGGGGAUAACAGGCUGAUCUUGCCCAAGAGUCCAUAUCGACGGCAUGGUUUGGCACCUCGAUGUCGGCUCGUCGCAUCCUGGGGCUGGAGUCGGUCCCAAGGGUUGGGCUGUUCGCCCAUUAAAGCGGUACGCGAGCUGGGUUCAGAACGUCGUGAGACAGUUCGGUCCCUAUCCGCUGCGCGCGUUGGAAAUUUGAGAAAGGCUGUCCUUAGUACGAGAGGACCGGGACGGACGAACCUCUGGUAUGUCAGUUGUACCGCCAGGUGCAUGGCUGAUUGGCUACGUUCGGGAGGGAUAACCGCUGAAAGCAUCUAAGCGGGAAGCCUGUUUCGAGAUGAGAUUUCCUGGCACUUUUUGGUGUGUGAGGCUCCUUAUAGAUGAUGAGGUUGAUAGGCCGGGUAUGGAAGCGGGGACUGAAGACUCGUGGAGUUGACUGGUACUAAUAGGCUGAAGGCUUAUUUUU